rnacentral:rRNA from 1 species
UACAGAGGUCUCAAGCGUUGUUCGGAUUCAUUGGGCGUAAAGGGUGCGUAGGCGGCGCGGUAAGUCGGGUGUGAAAUCUCGGAGCUUAACUCCGAAACUGCAUUCGAUACUGCCGUGCUUGAGGACUGGAGAGGAGACUGGAAUUUACGGUGUAGCGGUGAAAUGCGUAGAUAUCAGGAGGAACACCAAUAGCGAAGGCAGCUCGCUGGGACGGUACUGACGCUGGAGACGCGAAAGCGUGGGGAGCGAACAGG